rnacentral:rRNA from 1 species
AACCUUUACACUGCACGACAGUGCGAUAAGGGAAUCCCAAGUGCGUAGGCAUAGAGCCUACGCUUUUGUCCACCGUAGGGAGGUGGACGAAUAAGGGCUGGGCAAGACCGGUGCCAGCCGCCGCGGUAAUACCGGCAGCCCGAGUGAUGGCCGAUCUUAUUGGGCCUAAAGCGUCCGUAGCUGGCCGCACAAGUCCAUCGGAAAAUCCACCCGCUCAACGGGUGGGCGUCCGGUGGAAACUGUGUGGCUUGGGACCGGAAGGCGCGACGGGUACGUCCGGGGUAGGAGUGAAAUCCCGUAAUCCUGGACGGACCGCCGAUGGCGAAAGCACGUCGCGAGAACGGAUCCGACAGUGAGGGACGAAAGCUAGGGUCUCGAACCGGAUUAGAUACCCGGGUAGUCCUAGCCGUAAACAAUGCCUGCUAGGUGUGGCUCCCACUACGAGUGGGUGCUGUGCCAUAGGGAAGCCGCUAAGCAGGCCGCCUGGGAAGUACGUCCGCAAGGAUGAAACUUAA